rnacentral:piRNA from 1 species
UGCAAUCUUUUCUAAGAUGUUCAGAGCAACU